CCCUUGUCCCCUUCCGUUUAUAAGUUACAGAUGGACAGAUCCAAACUGCUGAGUAAUCCAUAAUAAACCUCGUAAUAAAUUCUGGUCUGCUGGAAUGGCAGAGACACCUGCUGAUGGAGGAGAAGGGAGAGAGGAAGUAUUCACUGUACCACUUACUAAAAAUAGAGAAUUUCUCGACAUUGAGGUCUUGGGAUUUUUAGUUGAGACUUCGUUAUUUUAUUCAUGGUGAAGUGAAUUUUCUAAUCCAAGAAUACUCAGCUCCAAAUACAAGAAGCAAGAAUAUCUCUGAAACAAAUUCAGAGGGGAUUUGGUGACUGUCAUUUUAUAUAAUUCAGAGUCCGCAGAACUAAAUAAAUAGUUACAGUUCUUCCUGGCAUGAGGUUGUUUUUCAAGCCCAGAAUUUGUAGCAAGCAAUAAAGUGAAUCGGAUAGUGCCUACUGUAUUACUUUGGAAAUUAUAAAGUUUGCUUCUAUUUCUAGGAAGUAUUUGUAGUUUUAAUAUAAUUGCUGUCACCAUCGUUUCUCUAUUAAUAACAAAAGGUGUACAAUAAGUAGAAUAAAGUAGCCAGGUAUUUCAUAAUCUUUAGAGCCAAAUGACACAGGCACUACUUUGCAACACCCUUUUCUGUCUCCUUUUUCUUGAAUUUUUGUUUUUAGACCUCUCUUCUUAAAUCUCCGGACUAUCUCAUAGACAUCUGUUUUCUUUUAGCAGGCCAGCAUGCUGAAAACUGGUAACAAACAUUGUAAAACCAACCUUUCAUUUUAAAUACGAUUCAAGAUGUACCAUGCUACUGUGUCUAGACUGGUAGAAUAAAUUCUGAAAUGAUGGUGGGUUAUCUCUCCUAUUGUCUACAACCAAAUUUAGUAAUUUGCUAUUAAAAUACUUGGAUCAGAAA